AUUGAACGCUGGCGGCAGGUUUAACACAUGCAAGUCGAGCGAGCGGCGGACGGGUGAGUAAUGUCUGGGAAACUGCCUGAUGGAGGGGGUCAACUACUGGACACGGUAGCUAAUACCGCCUACCAUCAGCUGUGCCCAGAUGGGAUUAGCUAGUAGGUGGGGUAAUCGCUCACCUAGGCGACGAUCCCUAGCUGGUCUGAGAGGAUGACCGGGCACACGGGAACUGAGACACGGUCCAGACGCCUACGGGAGGCAGCAGUGGGGAAUAUUGCACAAUGGGCGCAAGCCUGAUGCAGCCAUGCCGCGUGUGUGAAGAAGGCCUUCGGGUUGUAAAGCACUUUCAGCGAGGAGGCGUUACUCGCAGAAGAAGCACCGGCUAACUCCGUGCCAGCAGCCGCGGUAAUAG
rnacentral:rRNA from 1 species